AGGCAGGGACUGAAUAAGGUUGAGGAAGUGGGCCUUGGAGAGAAGCCUCCUGGGGUGGAGGGAGGUGGGCUGGCAAAGACUUGUGGCCCCUCAUGAUGGAUCAGGAGGGUAGUCAUAGGACAGAGGGAGCUGGCAACCACUUGGUUGCAACCAGGUUGGGAAGUGAGACUGGAAGACUUUUGACUGGAGUGGUUUCCCAGGAUUGGAGGUCUGGACUCUCAUAUGCUUCUGGGGUAACACAGAGCCAGAAGGAGUCUGGAUUUUUCCUUGAAUGACCUGAAGUCAGCACCGCUCCAGUCCUAAACUAAGGACUGAGUUCCAACUGACUGAAAACCAAAUUAAAAGAGGAGCCUUGCUCCCUUCCUUGUGCUCAGCGUUGAGACCCUGCCACCGCCUCAGCGGUCGUCCCUGCCCUGUCCGCCCCGGGCUGCACCCUGCAAGGCUCCUGCUGUUGUCCCCGGAGCAUGGGAGGCUGCUGGGCAUGAGUGGCUUGGUCCUGCGGAAGCUGCGUGGCAGGGAGGGGGUCCAUGGCUGCAACCAACAAAGGCAGCAAGCCCAGAUUCCGGAGUAUCCACUUUGUGACAGGCCACGAUGCAGAGGGCUCCCAAAGCCACGUCCACUUUGAUGAGAAGUUGCAGGACUCGGUGGUCAUGGUCAUCCAGGAGAGGGACAGCAGCUUUCUGGUCAAGGUUCCUGAAGAUCCUGCACAGGUAUGAGAUUACCUUUGCUCCGUCCCAGUGCACAGGCUGAGCAAGGACGUCCGCCAGGCACUUGUCCCCAGCCUGCACCUGAAGCUUCUCAGCGUCCUACCCUUCCCUGAAGGUUAUAGUGUCAAGUGCGAGUACUAGGCGCACAAAGAAGGGGUCCUCAAAGAGGGGAUGCUACUAGUCUGGGAAGGUGGCACCAGCACCUGCGUGCGCGGAAGGUGCAAGCCUGCAUCAUGGGCUGACGCCAUGGCACAUGCAUGCUGCUGGACGGUGUCAAAUGCAUGGGUGCCAAGCUGGAAUACUACUCGGAGCACAGCGACUGGCACGGCUUUGACUGAGGCCCGAGGUCCUGCCUGCCCUGGGCUGCCCUGCCUGCCCUGGGCUGCUCAGCCUUAAACCCUGCCUUGUUCCCCCAUACCCGACAUGCUGCCUGAUGGUGUGGCUUCCUUGCCCCUCUCCAGGGUGGGUGGGAUGGAGUGGCCUUGCCCACGCCUGUCACCUCUGCCUUCAUUCAAGCCACCACCCUGCCUCUCCUGCAUCCUCCUCUUCCACUUCCUCCUCUCCGUGUGCCUCAGUCUCCUGCCAGAAGAAAUGGCUUGAGCCCUCAAGGAGGCUGUCUGAGGAAGGAAGGGGAGGGCCUGGGGUGGGUACUCCCACUCCCCACCCCAAGCCAUAGGGGCUCCAGCCAGGGUCUGGGAGAGGACGGAGCUGGUUCUCUGAGGUCGUGGCCCCGUUACCUCUGCUGCUGCCUUGCUUCAGCCGCCUCUCCUGCCCCUCCCUCGUUCGCACUGCUGUCCUCCAUGAGUAGCAGGGAGGUGCAGUCCCCAGCUCCUACCCCUCAGGUCUGUGUUACUUGAUUUUUAAGCGAGUGGUUGGGAUAGAAUCCUAAAGAAAUAAAACUUCCAGUGUGGGGGCGGGGUGGGGGGGAGACGACCCUUGUCCCCAGUGUUACUCCCAAACAUUUGUGUGAUAUGCCGGCAAGGAUCAGGGAGAUAACCGAUUUCAGUUAUCUGCACUCACAUACAGGCCCUUUGAGGCUUGUGAGAUGAGAAAGUUUGAUAUUGUUAAUCUUUUCAGUCUCUCUCACCUCUUACACACAUAUACAGAGCUGGCUUCCUGGACCACUUCUGGAAAGAG
rnacentral:lncRNA from 1 species